CACGGAGUUGCCGUAAUACGGAGGCACGGGGUUGCCUUGUCCGUCGAUAUUAAAAAGUACAUCCACUUCCUCGGCGAGAGGAUACUGCGUGGGGUCCAUGGAAGGCAUUCUUUCUGAAAGGAGCAGGAUGGCGCCAGCCGGCUCAGUGCUUACAGACAGCUGUGGCGAGACGCAACUUAAGGAGGUUCCAGUGUCAUAAGCACGGGGGAGGCGGAGCCUGGCCCAGGCCACGAUACUCUGGGAGCUGAGGGCAGCGCUGAGUGCCGCUCCGCUGCAGUGGGGUCGUUCCUCCCGCCUCCCCCCUACCCAUCCCAAUGGAUGCGGAGCUUCAGGAGGGGCCGUAACCCCGGCAGGUGCAACAUCACCGGGAAAUAAAGCCGCAUCUCCCCGUGUUUAGAACCUC